rnacentral:tRNA from 1 species
UGGGGAUUAGGGUAGCGGUAGCCCGGCAGACUUUGGAUCUGCGUCAGGCCAGGUUCGAAUCCUGGAUCCCCAGCCA